UACGUAGGGGCUAGCGUUAUCCGGAAUUACUGGGCGUAAAGGGUGCGUAGGCGGUCUUUCAAGCCAGAAGUGAAAGGCUACGGCUCAACCGUAGUAAGCUUUUGGAACUGUAAGACUUGAGUGCAGGAGAGGAGAGUGGAAUUCCUAGUGUAGCGGUGAAAUGCGUAGAUAUUAGGAGGAACACCAGUAGCGAAGGCGGCUCUCUGGACUGUAACUGACGCUGAGGCUCGAAAGCGUGGGGAGCGAACGGGAUUAGAUACCCGGGUAGUCCCUGAG
rnacentral:rRNA from 1 species